CAAUAGCGUAUAUUAAAGUUGUUGCGGUUAAAAAGCUCGUAGUUGGAUCUCGGCGAGUAGGGGGCGGUUAGUUGCUUAACUGUACUGCUCCAUUUACUCGUGUUUUUGACGGAGGUUGCCGGGUGCUCUUCAUCGAGUGUCCGGUGAUGCCGUCAGGUUUACUUUGAAAAAAAUAGAGUGCUCAAAGCAGGCUUCACACGCUUGAAUAUUCGUGCAUGGAAUAAUAGAAUAGGACGUCGUUUCUAUUUUGUUGGUUUUCGGAAAUUGACGUAAUGAUUAAUAGGGACAGUCGGGGUCAUUAGUAUUCAAACGACAGAGGUGAAAUUCUUGGACCGUUUGAAGACUAACUACUGCGAAAGCAUUUGCCAAGAAUGUUUUCAUUAA
rnacentral:rRNA from 1 species